rnacentral:rRNA from 1 species
UACGUAGGGGGCAAGCGUUGUCCGGAUUUAUUGGGCGUAAAGAGCGUGUAGGCGGCCUGAAAGGUCAGCUGUGAAAACUCGAGGCUCAACCUCGAGACGUCGGUUGAAACCAUCUGGCCAGAGUCCGGAAGAGGAGUGUGGAAUUCCCGGUGUAGCGGUGAAAUGCGCAGAUAUCGGGAAGAACACCCGUGGCGAAGGCGGCACUCUGGGACGGUACUGACGCUGAGACGCGAAAGCGUGGGGAGCGAACAGG